CUCAAUAUGGAAAAUGGUGAUGAGAUAUUUGCCGCAAGACAACAAUCAGGAGGUGAUGGUGCAACUCUGUAAAGGGAUGAAUUGAAAUGGUUAAGUAGUUAGCAUAUUAUUACUUAUGAAAUGUGAAUUUGUGGUGUUGACUAUUGUGGUACAUGAUCACAAAACUACUAAUUUGCAUGUCCAUAUGAUAUGACUAUAGCCUAUAUCUUAGAGAACACCAAAAACAAACAUUGAGUUGGUGAGAAUCUAAACACAUCAGUUAGGACUCUACAUGGUUGAUUUUUUUUUUAAAACUAAACCAUAUUGAUUUUAAAAUUAAUAUAUAGAUUUAAAUUUAAAAUUAAAUUUAUUAUUUGUUUAAAAUCAGUUAUAAAAUCAAUUAUAAAAUUUGUUAUGGUUAAAUAACCAGUUUCUAGUUAAGCAACCGGUUUAGAAAAAUUCAAUUUUAAAAUUGAUUUUUUUUCUCAAAAUCAAGUAAAAUUUAAUUAUUUUUAUAUAUUUAUUUUUUUUUUUAAAUUAUUCAUAGUUUAAAAACUGGUUAUUUAAAAAAAUUUGAUUAUUUAUAUUUAAAAAUCGAUUAUUUGUACAAAAUAAAAGUUCAAUAGAAAAUAUACAUCAACCAUACAAUUGAUUUCUCUUGUGAUUAAAAUUGAACAUGUUCAAUUGCUUAUAAUAACUUGUGAUUAAAAUUGAUGUAUUACAAAUUUUAUUAAGACCAACGAUUCUGAUUCAUACUAACUCAAUAAAUUGUUUAUUACUAAAACGGUAAAAAAUACAAACACUUGAAAGUUUCUUCGAUCAAAUUUAACAAUUACUGCACCAUAAUAAAAUCGUAGAAAAUACAAACACUUGAAAGUUUGCUUCCAACACUAAGAUGGACACCACCACCACAAGAUCUAAUAAAUUUAAAAUAUCUAAUAGAUUUAAUAUAUUAAUUUUUGUCUUGACCAUUUAUAAUUAAAUUAAGGUUGAACAAUAUUUAAAUCUCAAUAUUAAUUCCAACCGUAACAUAUUAAUGUAAUAUUUUAUAAAAAAAAGUCAUCCUUUAAAAAUUAGUAAUUUAAAAAAUUAUAUUUAAAAUAUUUAGUCUAUCAUAUUUUAGUCUUCCUCAAUAAAUAUUAAAUAUCUUCAUUCAUUAAUUGUUGAAAAACGCUGCCAAAAGGUGGAAGUUCGGUCGUGGGGUGAAGUCAAAAUCAGAAUCGUUUGGAGUUUUAGAGAUUUAGGAUUUUUGGGAGUUGAGUGGAUAAAAACUAAAUCCACAUAUAAAACAUAUGUGAGUAUCCAACCGGUUGAUAAAUAAACUGGACUAUAACUAUAUAUUUUUAAGAUUCUUUUUUAAAGAAGUAAAUGCAUAGUUACAUUAAUAUUAUCUCCAUGUUUACGAGAACUUUUUUCAUGCUUCCUUCAUUGAGAAUAAAGGCAUAGAAACUGUGUAGUUAUUUUAUUAAUCGAUUGUAGCUUGAGAAUAGCUAGUAAGAUUAUACUAUGAACAAGUUUUGUAUAUGCGAGCCUAUUAUAUUUGAGAAUAGCAAUUCCAAUAAAUAUAUUCAACUAAUAAUAAAAACAUCAAAAAUAUAUAUAACAUUAAACUAAUAACUUUUAUUUUUAUCUCUACUAUGAUUUAUUUAAUUACAUGAAAUAAUGUUAAGUGAAGUGAUGAAUAUUUGAAAAACUAAUAAAAUUACUCACUUAUGGGGUUUCCUCUAAAGUAAUAAGCAUGAUCAAAUCUAAAUCCACUUACUUGAACCAUAAUAAGACUAAACAUUAUUGAUUCUUGAUACCACUCUUAUGAAUUAGAAAAUACCAAUUAAUUUUCACAAAUCAUUCUUAUAGACAAUAAUAAUUCACAGUAAGUCACACUGAAUUAAUAUAAAGAUUUAUUUUAAAAAAAUUAGAAUCAAUAGCACAUAUUUUAUAUAAGGGUUGGAGACUUGGAGUCUCUUUUUACUCAUUUAUUAAAUUUUGCUUAUAAAAAAUAUAUAAAACCAAAACGUAUACAUUGAUAGAGUAAAUGAAUAGCUAUAUAACUCAUAACAUAUUAAUUUUGUUGUUCGAGGGGGUAUUGUAUGAUGUCAAAUAAUCAAAGAUCUUUUCAUUGAUGCUCCUCCAGCAAUUCUAAUUAAACAUCAAAACAAAAAGCAAAUAGCAUUACUAAUUAGUUACAUGUAUAAAAUAUUGGCACUAAACAACAAAGUAAAAUAUCAAAUCACAUCUUGAAGACAAUUUAAUAUCAUACCUUCAAACAGUAGAUGGAUAUCUGCACCCUCUAUAACCUAUACAAAAAAAAAGUUGAAUUUUUGUCAUAAAAUAAAGUAAGAAAGUAUAGCUCAUUAAACAUAAGAAACAUUGGAACUCAAAUAUGAACCGUUUAAAAAUUUGUUUUCUAGAACUCAAAAUAAGAUAGAUUUAACUACAACAUAAAAUUAAUAUUAAUCACUAAAAUAAGUGUUUUCACACGUUACAUUUAGUAUAAUCAAAUAAAGUAAUUUUUGUUGGAACCAAAAUAAAAAUUACCUCAUCUAAGAGAACUUAAAACAAUCCUUUUAAAUUUUGAAAUCAUUAAAUCAACAACAAAAAAAAAACUAUUGGGAGUAAAAAUUUAAAAAUUGAACAUGUAACAUUAAAUUAAAUUAGUUUUACAUUCACGUUCAAUCAUAAAAAAAUAUUUAAUAAAAAAUUUAAUUAAAGAGAUAUUGAUAUUCAUACUUGGAUUAGUUUCAAUAAGGAGUCCAGUGCCACCAAAAUCGCAAGAGUCAUAAGCUUGAUUAUUGAUGUGAUAGUAACUAUCAAAAGCUUAAGAAGCAUGACUUUGGAUUGUAUUUGGAUAAUAACAUUCUCCCUUGGGCUGAAUAGGCUUACAAUUUGCUCCAACUCUACAUGCAUAAUUUAAAGCAUUAAGCAACGACUGCUCGUCAACAUCUUUCUUAGCCACACAUCAAGUUUGGAUUGCUCCUACAAUAAUCACAUUAACAAAAAUCAUAGUUAUCACAAACAUUAACAUAAUUGAAAUCAACUUUGGUGACACCAUUGAAGAAAUCAAAGAAACUAGUGAAAUAUUCUUAAUUAUUAUGUGAAGUGAUUUUUCUGUAUCUAUUUUGCUCUAUAUAUCAUGAGUAUAUAUAUAAAUAGAAACCCUAAACCCUAAAUUAUUAAACUAAAAAAUAUUUCAAAAACAAAUAUUUACAUUUUUACUCUAAAUAUAUAAAUUUGAUUUAGAUAAAAAUAUUUUAUAAAUUAGUAUUGAUUGAUAGUCAAAUCAAUUGCAUCUUUAGUUAUUUAAGAUAAUUUGACUAAUUCAUGAGAUAUGAUAAACUGAAUUUUCUUCUAAAAGAAUAAAAAUAAAAGACACAUUAUAUUUUUUUCUUCUCUAAAUCAAAUUUUCUCAAUAAAAUUUUCUUUUCUCAUGUGUAUUGAACUUAUCUCAAUCUAUUAUUAUUAACUCAAUUAAAAUUAUUCCAGACAUAGAAUUGUGGAUUACAUUAGUUAAAAAAAAAAAUCUUUGAUAGACGAUUUUAAAACCAAUUAUAAUAGUAUAAUAAUUUAGUAAGAUUAAGAUAUUUAUUUGGUAAAGAAAAAUAUUAAGAAUAUAUACGCAAAUCAUAAGAAUAUUUUACGAUCUUUAAAAAUUUAUUAUUAAUUUUUUGAAUAUUCAAUGUUGUAAAUAAAUCUUUUCAGAAAAAAAAAUGUAUAUAUUUUGGGAUCUUUUAAAAAUUUAUUAUCCAUUUUUUGAAUAUUCAAUAUUUUAAAUAAAUCUUUUCAGAAAAAAAAUUUACAUUCAUUAAAUAUUAAUUAUCCAAUAACAAACAUAUUUCUAUAGUUAUUGUGCAAGCAAUGAUAGCAUACAAUAUUAUUCAUUGAAGAUGUUUUUAAGAGAAAAAAAAAGAUGAAUUGUUUGUUAAAAUUAAUAUUACAGUAACGGUGAAUGAUAACUCUGAAUUUCAUUAUCUCAUUUUAUAGUUAUAACUUUCAUCAUUAAUAAUCAUUCAUUCAAGGAAUUGUAUUUCUUAUUAGUUUAAAAAUAUUUAUCGUAUAUGAUCAUGAAACCCUUUUAUAAUUAUUAUUUCAUCUUUUUUUUUUAAUUCAAAUGUUUAUUAAUUUUCAAAAGCUUAAUUGUCAAUAUCAUACUAUAUUUUUUUUAGAUACAAUGUUUGUUGUAAAAUUUGUUAUUAUAUAUAAUAAAAUCUAUAUUAAGUUAAUUUUUAUAAUUGGGAAAGAAGAAAUUAUGAUUAAUAAUUGUGGUUAGGGAUGGGAAUAGGUUAGGCCGUCCGCCAGGGGACUAUGGCCUGGCUUGACCUAUUUAAUAUAAAUGCUAGGCUCAGGCUAUUUUUAAAGUCUAUUUAUUUAAAUAGGUCAGACUCAGGCUUAUAAAAAAGCCUAUUAGGCCUGACAGGUCGACCUAUAUAUAUUUUAUUACUUAUUAAUAUUACUUAAUAUUAUUAUUAUUUUAAUAAUAUUAUAUCCUAUUUUAAAUUCUAUCAAUCAGGCAAUCAUUCAGUGAGCAUUCCAUAUUCAGUAGUUGUUCCAUAUUCAGUAGUCAUUCCAUAUUCGGUAGCUGUUCAAUUAGUCAAUCACUCAGUAGUCGUUCCAUAUUUGUUUAAGAGGUAAUAAUGAGUGUAUUUGUUUCUGAAUAAAAAAAUAUAUUAUUUGACACAAAAAAUUAAUUUUUUAGGGUUUAAAGGAUGUUUGUUUCAUAUUUUUUUUAAAGUAUUUUAAAUAGGCUUUUAAAUAGGCUUCCAGGCUAGGCCAGACCGAAAAAAAAGCCUAUGAUAGGCCGUAGGCCAGACUUAGGCCUUUCAAAGCCUGGCCUGAUCUGUCCUAUUCCUACCCCUAAUUGUGGUAGUAAAUAUAUAAACUUUUAUUUUUCGUUUGAUCUGGUUAUUUUUUUAAUGGAAGUUACCACAUUUGAUUUAGAUUGCAAGGAUUGAGUUUAGUGUUUAAAUAGUGUUUGUUUGAGAUUUUUUAUAAAUAAUUUUGUUAGAAAAAUCAUUUUUUGUUUAAUAUAUAUAAAUAUGUAAAUUGGUAUUGGUAUGAGCAGAGCAUCAUGUAAAUAAGGAUGGAUAGAGCAUAUAGCUUGAUAUGUGUAUAAGGACUAAUUAUGAAUUCAUUUUGCUUUUUUGUAAAUAAGGAUGCAGUGCAAACUUAUUAGUUAUUAUUUUAUUAGAUUUGAUUAUAAUUGUUAUUAGUUUCCCUUUCAUAUAAAGACAUAGUUUAACCUAUUUAAAAAGAAUAUAAAAUUUUAUAUAAAGACAUAGUUUAGCCUAUUUAAAAAGAAUAUAAAAUAUAAUAUUUAAAUAUUUUAAUGUGAAUAAGCCUUGUAAAUAGGCCUUCAGACCAAACCAAAAGUUUUAAAAAGGCUUGAUCAAACCGGAAAAAAAAAAUAUGAUUGGCCGUAGUCCAAAAAAAAUGUUUUUUUUAACAAUGAAUCAACAAAAUUGUCCGUGAUUAAUUUUAUCUUCAAGAUCUAUUUUUAUCUCAAAACUGAGCAUUAAUAACUCACGAAUUAUUAUAAGAUAUUAAUAACUCACAACUAGUUAUUAUUGUCAAGUUUUAUUUUAUAAGUCUUAUAAUAAUAUAAACAUUACAUGAUCAAAAUAUAUACAUUGACUCAUUCAUGUUAGAAGAUUUGUUCCUUCGAUAAGAUGGGUAUUGCCAUCGUCCAAAGCCUAUAUAUAUCCACAAGAAGAAAAAGAAAAAGAUGAGAUGAAUUGUUGAUCCACAACAUAAUUAAUCAACAUUGCAAUGUCGACUGUAUACAUACAAACAUAAUUAACUACACACAAUGUUUUUUCUCAUAAAUUAUAACAUUCAUCAAAGUAAUGGCUGCUACAAUGGUUAACAUGAUAUAAUCUAGCUUUGGUGAAGCCAUUUGAAGAAAUCAAAGGGAGAGAUGGAUUUUUUAUUUUAUUUUUUAUUGUUAAUUACGAGGAGAUUUUGUUUUGUCUACAUCACUUAUUAUGCUCUCUUUCCCAUUUGUAUGUAUAAAUAGUACAUGGAUUGAUCCGCACUUGGAAUUGAUAUUCAAUUAUAAAAGUCUAAGUAUAUAUUUUUAAAUAAAACAUUUUGUAAAACCAUUAUCAAUUAUCUAGAAUUUCAUAAUUGAAUUCAUACACUUCAAUAAAAUAGAAAUAAGUAUCAUAGAUUAAUAAAAAUAAUUAUUAAAGUAACUUGUAACUACAUUUGAACAACAUAAUUUACAACUCAAUUUAAUGAACUAUUUAAUUUAAUUACAACAGCAGUACUGAAAUUAUAAAUUUGUUUCAAAAUACAUCAAGUUACAUCAAAUAAAAAUAAAGCACCAAGUCCAAAACAAAGCUUCCAAAUCAUCCUCUCGUACAAGUACUCAGCAUCAAUCACAUUCAGUUGCUAAUAUAUAAAAAAUAAAAAGGGGUGAGAUAAAAUCUAAGUGAGUUCUGAAAAUAAAGGAAUUGUAAAAUAUUUAUUUCACAAAUAUGCAUAAACAUAUGAAAUUAUGAUCCAUCUCAAACUGAAGCUCUCAACUUCAAUUUCUUUCUAUAAAAUUUAAUUGAAAUCAUUCUUUUAUAAUGAUUAUGAAAACAAAAACUAUGUUUGACCUCAAAAAUAUUUUCUUUGUAAACAAAGAAACGUCGCUCAAUUAUCUCAACGUGGACCACUAAGAUAAUUAAGUCCUGAGCGGUAAAGGUGAUUUGGUCAAACCCUAUUAAUUGUCCUGAUUAUUCUCCUUUAUUUGCUGAACUAUGUCUGGAACAACGUGAAUUCCAUCGUGAAUAAGGUCAUGCAUAAUUUGAUUAACGAGAUUGUACUAAACUUGACAUGUUUUGUAUGCAAUAUUUUUAUUAUGUCCUGUAUGCAAUGCAAUCCUUCAUCCACAACAAUUAUAAACAACUUAGCAACAUACCAAAAUUUAAGUGAGAAUUAAAUCCUAAGUAUAUGAUGAAGCUGGAACCAAAGAUAAAUUUAGCCAAAGCCAGAACUCAUGACUAGAGGCAACACAUUAUGGAGUAACAUAUUAGAGGCAUAAUGAGCAAAGUCAGUAGAUAUAGGACCAGGGCGUUCUAAUUAGAGGUAGCAUGAAUAGAGGAAGAGUCAACAUGAUCAAAGGGUGCAUGAAUCAGGGGCAGUGUGAUGGUAGGUAGAUUUUGAUCAGGGGAUACGUGGAUCAUAGGAUACAUGGACCAAUGGCAGCGUGGUCAGAGGAUACUUGGACCAGAGGCAGUGUGGUAAGAGGAUACAUGAACCAAACGCAACAUGGUCAAAGGAAGAAUAAAAGGAUACAUUGCUAUAGAAAAAAAUCAAAGGAUACAUGUCCAAAUGAAGAAUUAGAUGAUACAUGUUUAGAGGGAGAACCAAAGGAUACAUGUCCAAAGAAAAAAAAUCAAAGGAUACAUGUCUAGAGAAAUAAUAAAAGGAUACAUGUCAAAAGGAAAAAUCAUAGGAUAUGUGUCAAGGGGAAAAAUAAGAGGAUAUGUGUCUAAAAGAUGAAUCAAAUGAUAUGUGUCAAGAGGAAAAACAGAGGAUAUGUGUCCAAAGAAUGAAUCAAAUGAUACAUGUUCCGAGGAAGAAUCAUAUGAUGCAUGUCUAGAGGAAGAAUAAGAGGAACGAAUAGAAGGGCAACAAUAAGGGGAAAAAACAAAACGAGAAAUCAGAGGUAGUAAUACUCUGAGUUGAGAAAUAGCAUUAAAGGCAACAUACCCAAAAACAUAAGUUAAUCAUCAAAAGCAUAAUGUCCAAAAUCACGAGUUAGGAACAAGAGGCAGCAAUAUAAAAAGAAUUAUUAGAGGAAAAAAUACUUAGGUUUUUUAAACAAAAACCAUAGGCAAAAAUCCCAAAGUACAGAAUGACACUCAUAGGCAAACUACAUAGGCGAUGGUGACAAAACAUCCAAGUAACGCGCAUUUGCCUUCAGUAAUAUGAUUUGCUCAUUAAUUCUUCUAACCCGUAAAAUAUAAAAGUCAUCUCCAAAUAACAUAGAGCAAAUAAACAUGCAUAUAUAAUUGUUAUAGAAAAAAUAAAAAUAAUUAUAUACUUCAUUUAACUGUUAAAAUCACAAAGCACCAAAGAUACAAAUCAACCAAAAUACACAAAUUCUAUUUGUUAGACUAUAUGUCAAUACAUAAUUUUGGAAUAUCACCACCCAGUAGAGUAAAGAGUUCCACCAUUGGACAAUGUCCCACAAUUAUACAAAUGUUCUUCAUUAUGUCAAUGCAUGAUUCUGAAAUAUCACCACCCCGUAAAGCAAAGAGUCCCACCAUUGGACAAUGUCCCACUGUUGGACAAAUGCUCUUCAAAGUUUCAUGUUCAGUACUCCAUCGUUGAGUAUUUUUCUAAAUCACAUUGCCUUUUCAAGGAACUGUUGUCAAGUACUCGCGACUAGGUCCAGGCCACAAAUGCAUGUAUGAAUAUCAUCACCUUAGUUAGUAACAAAAUAGAUCAGUCAACCAGAGCGUCCAAAACCAUUCAACCUUGUCCUAUACCAACCUGGUUUAGACACAAAGUCAUCACCUUGAAUAAUCACCCUAUACCAAUCAAAAUAUGCAAAUUGUUUAAUCUCAUAAUAUCACUCAUAAACAUGUAACUCAUGUAACACAUAUUUUGAAGAUAACACAUAAACAAAAACAAUGCAUAACAUCACAAUAAGUUUAUAUCGCAUAUAAUUCAAGUAGAAAAGCAAAUGAAUUGAUGCCCUUUCCGUUAUGAGUGUCGUUAUUAAGGUUCCUAUGUAGUGGUCUUUGCUCCAAAAAUGUUACACCUUCACAAAUUAAUUUAGUACUCACUUAGUUUCAAAACUCAUUUAUCCCUAAUUCAUAUUAAAGGUUUGGUAUUGGCUUAAGGUUUUAAGAUAAAUAAUUUCUUUUAUAUAUUUAAAAGAUAUCAAUACUCUCAAAUUAGCAAGCACACAAACAAGUAGCAAUAAAAAUAUAUUUUGAGUCUAUAUUUGGCACAAGUGUCUCAUUUUAAAUUCAAUCAAAUAAAGGAAAGAUGUAAUUUUUCAAAUAUUUUUUUUGGACCCAAAUUCUAAUAUAAGAAACAUAAGGAUCCCUAAGACUUCCUUAGUUCACUUUCAAAAAUUUAAUAAUAAAAUUUAACGACAUUACAUCACAAAUUCCAUUUUAAUUAUUACAAAACAAAUUCACAACUCUAUCAUAAAAUUAUUUUUAUUUUAUAAAUCAACACCACAGCCACACAAUUGUCUCAGAAAAAUACCAAUUUUAAUAUUCUAAAAAAUAAUUAUAACAACUUUCAACCCAUUUAUUAUUUCUGGAAACAUUGUUAUUAUUAACAUCAAUGAAGUUUCUAAUUUUUUUUUAACACUCAAACUAUCACAACAUAAAAUUUUAACCAAAUAAAAAUUGAUUUUUUAGCCAAUAACUACUUCUAUUGAUUAAAACACAAUAUAGUCUUUAUAUUGACUUUUACCGAAUGAAAAUUAAUUUUUGCCAUAGAUAAACAUUCUCUUUAAUCAAAAUAUGUUUCUAUAUCAAUAUCUAUAAGAAAAUCAAUAUAACUUCUAAGAAAAUAAAUUGCACAUCACCUUUUUACUUUUAAAACAAAUAAAAGAUUUUCCUACACAAUAAUAAUAAUAAUAGUAAUAAUAAUAAUAAUAAUAAUAAUAAUAAUAAUANNNNNNNNNNNNNNAUAAUAGUAAUAAUAAUAAUAAUAAUAAUAAUAAUAAUAAUAAUAAUAAUAAUAAUAAUAAUAAUAAUAAUAAUAAUAAUAAUAAUAAUAAUAAUAAUAAUAUCAAACAUCAUUUUCAAUAUUAUCCAUCCUCAUAAAGGCAUUUACUAAAAUCAUGUUUUUGACCGGUAACAACAAUAACAAUUUUACCAUAAAAAUCAAUUAUUUUUAUAGAUUGACGUACAAAAAACCUAUUACUAGUGUUACCGUUAUUUAAAUAAUAAUGAGAUUAGAGUUCCUAAUAUUCUAUCUCCAACGAUAUUAAAAGCUUUCCAUUCCUAUGUAACAAUCGACUAUCUUAAUUUAUUUAUAACAAUUGAUUCUAGCGUCUAACUCAUUCAUUACUUUAUCUAAACAAGAUAAGAAAAAAUCAAUAAAUGAAAGGUUCUUAUCUAUCAAUAAUAAGGAUACAAUUAGAGAGAUAUAAUCAUCAAUCAAUUUUAUUUUAUCUUUCAAAAAUAUCAAUAAGGAGCUUUGUUCUACUAACAAUCAAAAUGGUUAGAUAAAAUUAAUAUGAUCAUAGUUAAAGAAAUUUAACUUAAGGAAAUGAAUCACUAACUCCUUUAAGGGUUUUCUUGAAUUUCUUCCUUUUUCUCUCUUAAGCCAUUUCUUUCUCGCACAGAGGUUGUUAUGAGUAUUCAGAUUGAGAAUUAGAGACAUUAAUUUUUUUUCCUUCUAUGACUAGAGUUAGAGAACGUGUUGUUUUCAACCUAGUCCCAUUAAGACCCUAAAUAUUCAUUCCUAAAUUAAUGUAAUUUUAUUUUUAACGUCUUCUUUCUUUUUUAUUAUUAUUGUUGCUAUUAUAAACAUUUAUUUUUCAAAUACUUAGCAAAAUAUUCAGUCAAAUUAAAUACAUCAUGUCAUACACAUAUAUACUUUUCAAAAAUAACAAUUGAAUAAAAAUAUAAUAAUAAUAAUUACAAACACAUUAGAAAUUAUAAAAAAAUAAAAUAAAAAGAUAUUUCACACAAUAAUAAAGAAAAAUGAGGGUCUAAUAUUUUAUCCACCUAAAAUAGUUUCGCCUUCCAAACAGACACUAAUAUGGCAAAAUGCGGGUCUUAUAUUCUAUCAACCUAAAAAUAGUAUCGUCCUCGAUGUGACACCCUGAACCUAAAUUGAAAUAAAAAGUAAAAUGCACUAGUUUUUUUUUAGAGAUUCACAGCGGUUCCAAAAUAGAGUAUAUUUUUUUUUUUAAAAAAAAAUGCUUUAAGGUUCAAGACGUCACAUUCAUACUUACACAAAAUGCAUGCAUACAAAUUUUCAAUAAAAAAAAUCCUUAAUAUUGAAUAUAGUUUAUGUUUAUUAAAUAAAUAUUUUUGAUAUAAAAGCAAGUUCUAAACUUAGAGACAAUUAAUUUCUACCUCUGAAUAACCGAUAAAAAUAACACAAUUGAUCAAUCAAAUUUACAAAAAUCUAAAUUGUUCAUAACUCUACAAAAUACAAAAAAUUACUCCCACCCGAUAUCACCUAUUCAGAGAGUGGAUCCUUAAUCGAUAACCUGAAAUAAUUGCGCUCUUGCAAGCGCCAAACACAAGGAACGAGGGGUGAGCUUCGAAAACAUGUAAUAGUAUAAAAUAACUGAGAAGAACACAUACAAAAAUAUUAAACACCGUAUCAUAUCAAAUCACAACCAACAAGAAUAAUCAAGGUAAAACAUUGAUACCAUCCACAACAUCAAGUAAGUAAAUACACAAAUCAAGUAAUGUUAUGCAUGCUCUUAUACUCUAGACUCCUCCUCUUUCUUUGGUACCAUUCUAACUCUGAAGUACUUGGUUAGGAGGCUCGCUACUAUGCCACCACGCAAGUGGACGGACAAUUCAAAUUGGCCCUGUCCUCAUAGAUCCCCUCAACUCAACUCGAGACACAUAUAAGUGACAGUCGAGGUAAACGUGUGUUGAGUGCUACCUCCAAGUCACCUAGGAAUUCCCCACCCGAAUACCUCCAAGGUCUAACAAUCUUGCCUUAAGGCUCAACAGCAGACCGCCACGAUCAGGUUCAUUCAGUUGUACUUCCCCAUAAUCACUAGGCUUGUCAGGCCCUACCUAUAUGUUUACCAAAUAAUCUCCACUUCAAAAAUUAUCAACAACUACUUUCUCCCCUUGUUGUCCUAGGUUACUUACUCCAUUAAGAGAACCAUCAUUGGCACGGGUCGAAUUUGUCACUAUUCAAUUAAACACAAUAUGCAUUUCAUGAUAUUCCUCAAGGUGGUAAUAUCACAAGUCAAGGAGUACAAAACGUCAUUGCAGAUUUCCAUAGUCAUACAUUACAUUCAGAAUUUAUCAUCAUAAUACGUCAUCUCAAACAAUAAAGGAUCUACACUCACAUAUAAUAAUAAUAAUACUAUAUCAUUCACACACACCACAUCAAUUGCAAGGCAAAUAAUUACAAUUCAUCACAUUUUAUAUCAUAUAUCAAUAUCAAUGAUAGAUAUAAACAAAACACAUACACAAUUCUACAAUAAUUCAACUAUCACACGAUCUUCAAAAAUCAAAUCAAACAACAUCCUAUAAAAGUUUCUAAUUCAUAUUUUAAUCUCACAAAAUUCAAGUUUGCUCAUUAGUCAAUUAUUACUCAAAGGGCUUCUGCCAUACAUAGCGAGCCCCAAAUGAAUUGUGGGAAACACGGUAUUUCCGUUCAUCUCACUUAAUUUAUACUCAUGCAUUUGAACUCACUCUCACCCCAUACCUCAAUUUGACACUUUCACAAUAUAUAAGGACCAUAAUGAUUUUCAGCAACCAUGAGAUGUCGACAACACGCAACAAACGAGUCCAAACGCAUCGACGAAUUUGUAGAGUCAAUGAAACAUGACUGAUAAUUUACGCGGACUACAAAAAUCAAUGUUACAUAAUUAAUAAAAAUAUAAAGAGAAUAAACAUAUUCGAAAUGAAGUGAAACAAGUUAUCAGAAAAGGCUUCAUCGACGUGUUGGAGCACCGACAGGGUCCGACAUCAACUUACCCGAAACAGACAAACAAGUAAUGUUUCUUGAAGGUUUCGACGAGAGGAAUCUAGAAACGAUAUCAGUUUUUCAAGAUGAUGAGUGUGUUGUCCAUAAUUCAAGAAAACACCCGCGACAAUGGUCGAAACCCAUUUUUUAAAAUGCAACGAUUGGCGAUUUCGAGCAUAGGUAACGAAAUAGGGUGAUUUGUGAAGUCCAAAUAUGGUCUUGUUUUUUGUUUGUGAUAGUCGUGGAGGCCGAAAUCUUGAUCAAAAGUUGGAGGUGUGAUAUUUUUCAAAGAGAAAUUGGACUUUUCAAUUUGCGAUUCAGGUUGAGAAUUAAAGAGGAGAUCACAAUGAUCACGAAUGUGGUCUCAGUUUUCUAAGACAGCCAUUGUAACGAUCGUGGUCGAGACGAGAAGAAGGAAGAGGAAAUGGUUGUUGGCGGCGGUGUAUACGAAGAAGAAGGAAGAGGUUCUGGUCUUGUUGUUAUUAUUUUUCUUCCUUUAUUAUUAUUAUUAUUAUUAUUAUUAUUAUUAUUAUUAUUAUAUUUUUUUUAUCCAAAUACCCACAUUAAAAUACUACCAUCAGAGAGUAUUCAAAAUUAUAAAACAAAUAAAUAUAACAUCUAAACUUUAUAUUAAUUACUAAAUUAUAAUAAAUAUAUAUAAAAUCACAGUAUCAUAACAAGGUUAUAGAAAUAAAUGAAAUCAAUUGCAAUGUUACUAGCAUCUCAAGAUGAUUAUUUAUCAACUAAAUAACUAAAAAUAUAAACCAGUUAGAAAAAAAUUUGAAGUGUAACUAUGUGUACACUUAACAUCAUUCAAACUCACAAAAAAAAAAUCACAUUUACUAGGUACACGCAUAUAUACGUUAAAUUGUCUAAAAUCUUAUCAUUUAAAUUAUUACACUAAAAUACUAUUAUUUUUAGAAAAAUAUAUAAAAUAAUAUAAUAUUUGUUAUUUAUAUCACGCGUUUAGUCUAAUAUGUAAUUAGUACAUCAUAGAAAGCCCACAUAUAAAGAAAAUUAAUUCCAAAAUUAAUCAACAUAUAUUUUAAAAUAAUUUUAACACCAAAUCAAUUAUUUAAAAUUUUAUUUAAUUAAUGAAAUAAUUUAUUAUAAAAGUUAGGGUGUUACACUUCUCCCCUCGUUAAAGAAAUUUCGUCCUCGAAAUUUAUGGUGAACAAUAGACAAACUAAUACAUAAUUAAGCACCCUCAAGGAUUUCACUAGUUACAUGACAAUGAAUCAUUUAAACGCAUAUUACAUCUAAUGUUUCAAUCAUUAAAAAAAUACAACAAUUACUCACUAUAAUUUAUAGAGGAGGGAGAGCUCAUAGAAUUAGUUAAUAACAACUUACUAUUUUAAGUUGAAUGAAUGGAAAAAAAAAAUUUAAACACAUUAGAAGAUUCAAUUAACUUCUUAAAUAAUGCUCUACUUAUCUGACUCUCCUAAACAAAUAUUUAAAUCCUAACAACAAUUACUCUACAGAUUUAAUAAAAGUUAGGCUUAUGGAGAAUAUUUAAAAAAAUUCACACCUUCAAGAAUUAAAAAUUGAACUGCAUAACAACUCAAUAACAUGCAGUCACUUUAAAACAAGAACAAAUGUACAAAACCAUAUUGGAAGACAUAAAUUAUUUCCCACGUAUUCGUGACACAGUUUUUUUUUUCUUUUUAACUAAUCAACAUUUAUAGUGUAUGCUAUUUGUAAUUUAUAAUUAAAAUAAUUUAGAACAACAUACAUUAUAACCAAAUAAGCAUAGGCAAUAAAAAGUCAAUGAUAAGCAUAUUGCCUCAUGAGAACAUACACAUAAACAUUGAAAUAACUCUAAUAAUAUAAUGGUGGACAUUUUGUCUAAUUAAUCAAAAUAAAAUCAACAAAUAUUCAUAAUAAUAAUAAUAAUGAGUUAUUCUAGCCUAUUAGUACUAACAAUUGGUCGUCGGGUUGAUCAAUCCCUUCUACUCAUGUAGUCAAGUACUCAAGGUAAGAAUAACUAAAAAUAUUGGGUCCAAACAUAGAUGAUUAAAAUACUUUUAACGUGGUAGUAGUGUGGGAAGACGUCGUCACGUCUCCCACCUCUCUCAACACAGUUAAACUCCUUUUAACUUUACAAGUUUUUUUUUUAAGAAAAAAACAAUUAGCAACUAGUACAUGUACAAAAAUACUUAUAAUAAACAUACAAUUUGACAAUUAAAAUUUAUUGUUGUUUAAUCAUAGUCAUAAAACGAAGAAAAUAAUACUUUAUGCUCAACUUAACAGCUAAAUUAUAAGGCAAUAGUUUAAAAAUAGCAUCAAUAAGAACUCAAUCGCAGCUUCUGUGAAUUAUAAUAUUUCAAGGAUAGUCAAAUCAACUAGUGAUGAACAACUUAAUUUACUUAAUUGCCUAAUACAAUCAGUAACAACAAUAGAAAUGACAUUUAAAUUAAACUUAACCAACAAUCAGAAAGAAAAAAUAUUAAAUUAUCUCACUUUUAAACACUUCUAACAACUCUAGAUUCUAUACACAAAUUCUCUUCAAAACCAUUUAGAACACCUAAAUCACAAGCAAUUUUAUAUUCACAAAAUCAAAACACAAGUUAAUUAGAGCUCAACUGCAAGAGAGCAAUAAAAUGAUAACAAAAACAUAGGUUUUCCUAUAUCAAAAGCCAAAUAUAAGUAUGCAAUACAUCCCUUUCAAAACCAGUAAAAUAAAUUUUAAAGCAACAAAAUACUCUAAUUUUGUAAGAAUCUUAUUUCAAUGAAUUAGGUUCCCAUAGAGAAAGUUCUGCUUGCUUAAUGUAAGUCAUACAUACACACUAUAUAUGCAAGCCUUUGACUGGUUUGUAAAAUUUGCAAAAAUAGCUCUAUAUAAAUUUAUUCAAAAUACUCCUAUUUUCUAAAAAGUCUCUAAGUGAAAAACUCACUUACCCUGGAGGUUACCAACAUCACUUAUUCUUACCAACAUCACAUAUUAUGUUUGAUGUAGUGCUACCACAUGAAUUCUAUAUUGUAGUACGUUAACUAUUUCAACAAACACUACUCAAUCAAUAUCCCUUCAACAUGAAAUAUAUAAGUUCUCGUGUUAUAUCAGAUUAUUCGAUCUGAGUAGUACAAGAUCUGAGUAGUACAAGUGUUUGUUGGCUAACUUAUUUAGUGGUAUAAAGGAAUGGCAAGUAUCCUUUCUUCUCUGGUAAAAAGUCAUUAAGUCAACAAUCACCUAGAUAAAGAUUAGCUUUUCACAUAAAAUGCAAAGUUAAUUUUCAUCAAAGACAAUAAAUAGCACACAUACACGUUUUUGUUAAUUCAUUCCUUAAACAAAUUCUAUUCACAACUAUGUGUAUUUGUUUGUACUGCCACAAACAUUAUCAACAUUCAUUAGCAAUAAAGUCUCAUCAGACUAACACCAACCUUAAUGCACAAUAAACUUGCUUGCUUGAGACUAGUGUCUUAACUACAUCAUAGCGAAAAUUUAUCGUCUGUGAUACACUAUUUAGUAUAAAGUGUUAUCAAAUAGGUGCUCUUUCAGCACUACAGCGCACCAAAAUUUGAACAAACUACUAGUUUUUGCGAAUGACAACACUGCUGAGGGCCAUAAUAGCCCAAGCUUACUUAAAAUAAAAACUAAUUAAUGAUAAAUUGAUAACUAAUUUUGCCAACAAUUAUUUGUACUAACAAAUAGGCCAGUGAAUUCUCCUACAUUUCUUUUUAGUUUUUAGUGGUCUUUAUACUUUUGGUCUAACAAAAAAAAAAGGCAGCAUAUAUAAUCAAACAACUACUAUAAAUUUUUUACUCGAUUAUCGAUUUAACAACAAUUUAGAUAUGAAACCGGCUGUCAAAAUACACAGAUAACCCAACUAUAAAAACUAGUGAUACAAAAGUAAGAUUAAGCCUUUCUACAACAAACCCAUAUCUUAAUCAACAACCAACCCAAUUUUCAGUUAAUCGGCAAUUCUUAAACAUUUUGAAACUAACUAUCAGUGAGCAAUAAGAGGAAAUGAAAUGCAAAAAAAAAAAAAACAAAUAACAAGAAAUAAAAAGGCAACAACAAAAUUGACGAACACUAAAUCGAUGUUCGGUCCACUCGGCCUGAUUGGACAAACCUGCUCUGAUACCACUAAUGUGACACCCUGAACCCAAAUUGAAAUAAAAAGUAAGAUGCACUAGUUUUUUUUUUUUAGAGAUUCGCAGCGGUUCCAAAAUAGAGUAUAUAUUUUUUUUAAAAAAAAUACUUUAAGGUUCAACACGUCACAUUCACACUUACACAAAAUGCUUGCAUAAAAAUUUUCUAUAAAAAAAUCCUUAAUAUCGAAUAUAGUUGAUGUUUAUUAAAUAAAUAUUUUUGAUAUAAAAGCAAGUUCUAAACUUAGAGACAAUUAAUUUCUACCUCUGAAUAACCGAUAAAAAUAACACAAUUGAUCAAUCAAAUUUACAAAAAUCUAAAUUGUUCAUAACUCAACAAAAUAUGAAAAAUUACUCCCACCCAAUAUCACCUAUUCAAAGCGUGGAUCCUCAAUCGAUAACCUGAAAUAACUGCGCUCUCGCAAGAGCCAAACACAAGCAAUGAGGGGUGAGCUUCGAAAACAUGUAAUAGUAUAAAAUAACUGAGAAGAACACGUACAAAAAUAUUAAACACCGUAUCAUAUCAAAUCACAACUAACAAGAAUAAUCAAGGUAAAACAUUGAUGCAAUCCACAACAUCAAGUAAGUAAAUACACAAAUCAAGUAAUGUUAUGCAUGCUCUUAUACUCUAGACUCCUCCUCUUUCUUUGGUACCAUUCUAACUCUGAAGUACUUGGUUAGGAGGCUUGGUACUACGCCACCACGCAAGUGGACUGACAAUUCAAAUUGGCCAUGUCCUCAAAGAUCCCCUCAACUCAACCCGAGAUACAUAUACGUGACAGUCGAGGUAAACGUGUGUUGCAUGGUAGCUCCCGACAUUUGGAGUGCUACCUCCAAGUCACCUAGGAAUUCCCCACCCGAAUACCUCCAAGGUCUAACAAUCUUGCCUUAAGGCUCAACAGCAGACCGCCACGAUCAGGUUCAUUCAGUUGUACUUCCCCAUAAUCACUAGGCUUGUCAGGCCCAACCUAUAUGAUGACCAAAUAAUCUCCACUUCAAAAAUUAUCAACAACUACUUUCUCCCCUUGUUGUCCUAGGUUACUUACUCCAUUAAGAAAACCAUCAUUGGCACGGGUUGAAUUCGUCACUAUUCAAUUAAACACAAUAUGCAUUUCAUGAUAUUCAUCAAGGUGGUAAUAUCACAAGUCAAGGAGUACACAUCGUCAUUGCAGAUUUCCAUAGUCAUACAUUAUAUUCAGAGUUUAUCAUCAUAAUACGUCAUCUCAAACAAUAAAGGAUAUACACUCACAUAUAAUAAUAAUACUAGAUCAUUCACACACACCACAUCAAUUGCAAGGCAAAUAAUUACAAUUCAUCACAUUUUAUAUCAUAUAUCAAUAUCAAUGAUAGAUAUUAACAAACGUCACGUCAUGUAAGGUCUGUGAUAGACUACACAUUUUUGGUAAAUCGUGCUGACCCGUGAUAGGUGGCACCUCGGUAAAUAGUACUUCGGCCUGUGAUAUGCGAUACAUUUACGAUUUACGUUUUUAGUAAAUCGUGCUUACACGUGAUAGGUGGCACCUCGGUAAUUUAGUACUUUGGCCUGUGAUAGGCGGUACAAUUAUGAUUUACGGCCCUUCGAGGAGGGUUUUGGUUUGGAAUUCCGAGUUCAUUCAUUUUGGCAUAUACGCAUUGCAUUAGGGUGCUUGGCACCCGAGUCGUGUUUGAAUUAAGAUUAUGAUUGAGUGUUUGAACUCAAGUUGUCAUGGUGAUUGUGUUAUAAUUGCCAAGUGUGGAUAUUUUGGAAUUGUGUGUAAGUGUGAUUGAUUGCAAAACCAGUUCGAAACUUAUGUUGUCGUGGUGAUUGUGUUAUAAUUGCCAAGUGUGGAUGUUUUGGAAUUGUGUGUAAGUGUGAUUGAUUGCAAAACUAUUUCAAAACUCAAGUUUUCAUGGUGAUUGUGUUAUAAUUGCCAAGUGUGGAUGUUGUGAAAUUGUGAGUAAGUGUGAUUGAUUGCAAAACCUUUUCGAAACUCAAGUUGUCGUGGUGAUUGUAAUAUAACUGCUAAGUGUGAAUGUUUUGAAAUUGUGUGUAACUGUGAUUGAUUGCAAAACAUUUUCGAAACUCAAGUCGUCAUAGUGAUUGGGCUAUAACUGCUAAGGUGAUUGGUUGGAUUUGUGUGUAAGUGUUGAUUGAUUUCAAAACCCUUUUAAAAGCUGAAUUUUGCUGUUUUUCUGCUGCUGUCUGAUGUGUAUUCGAAUACAGACUGUUGUAUUCGAAUACAGACAUGUUGUUUUGCUACUGACUUACUGUGUAGUCGAAUACAGACUGUUGUAUUCGAAUAUAGACAUGUUGUUUUUGUUGCUGAAUGCUGAAACAACCUUGUAUUCAAAUACAGAGAUGCUGAAUUCGAAUACAACAGUGUUGUUUUGUUAAAAACUUCAUUUUUUUGACCUUGUUUAUGCAUGUUUGGCAUAUGGAAACCAUUUUAAGGUGCAUGCUAAGUUGAAAGGUUAUUUUGUGCAUUUAAAAACUUAAAUGUUAUGUGUUAAUUGUUAAUUUCGGUUGGUGACCCUUUACAACUAUUGUGGAAAUCUGGGCUUUGCCCUCAAAUGAGAACCAGGACCAUCCUACUGGUUAGUACCCUGUAGAUGGGAAGGUAGUUGGACACACCUGACUGGAGCUGUGUUAGGAGGAUCUUACGGGGCGCGUGAAGAUCAUCUGGGAUGUAUAGUUUUUUGUAGAAUGAUCAGAUUAGGUUGACGUAUAGGGACUAGAUGUCUGUCUUUUUGGGUUGUGUUUAUUUUAAUUUGGAAGACUGUACAUAUACUAAUAUUGUCUGUUUGACAUUUUAUUAUGAUGGGGUCCAUGUACCACUUUUUGAAGUGUAAAUACUUUGAAUUCGUAUUUCAAAAACUAUUCCGCUGCUUGUAAAUUAUGUUGACUUAUUUGUCGUUGUGUUACGACUUAAAUAUUUAUCCAAAAGUAUUUUGUUUCCCUAUUUCUUUGUUUUUAUGAAUUUGUUUUGAAAAAAAAAUACACUCGCGCUGUUAAAAUCGGGGUGUUACAUCAUCAUUCUUUGACUUUUUCAUUGUUUAAUUCAAAUUAUUUGAGUUAUCUGACUUAUGUAAUAUGUAAACCUUAAAUGUUGUAGUUUGUAUAGAAGUAAUUUUUAUGUCAUAGUACUACAUAUAGUAUUUACUUGAAGUUUCUUAUUUUGAUUGAACUCACCAAUAGUUUUUUUUUUUUUACAUUAAUGUAACUUCAGCUCAAUAUGGAAAAUGGUGAUGAAAUAUUUGCCGCAAGACAACAAUCAGGAGGUGGUGGUGCAACUCUGUAAGGGGAUGAAUUGAAAUGGUUAAGUAGUUAGCAUAUUAUUACUUAUGAAAUGUGAAUUUGUUGUGUUGACUAUUGUGGUACAUGAUCACAAAACUACUAAUUUGCAUGUCCACAUGAUAUGACUAUAGCCUAUAUCUUAGAGAACACCAAAAACAAACAUUGACUUGGUGAGAAUCUAAACAC
rnacentral:lncRNA from 1 species